CCUUGUGGAGACGUACAUCCGUAGUGGACUCGUAAACCUGUGCUACCUUACACACCUGGCACUGAUGCAGCUGGAGUGGUGGAGGCUGUUGGAGAGGGAGUCACCACAAUAAAGACAGAUGAUUGUGUU